GACGUAGGGCGCGAGCGUUGUCCGGAUUUAUUGGGCGUAAAGAGCUCGUAGGCGGUGUGUCACGUCGGCCGUGAAAACCUGCAGCUUAACUGUGGGCGUGCGGUCGAUACGGGCAUCACUGGAGUUCGGCAGGGGAGACUGGAAUUCCUGGUGUAGCGGUGAAAUGCGCAGAUAUCAGGAGGAACACCGAUGGCGAAGGCAGGUCUCUGGGCCGAUACUGACGCUGAGGAGCGAAAGCGUGGGGAGCGAACAGG
rnacentral:rRNA from 1 species